rnacentral:lncRNA from 1 species
AUGUCCCAGGAGGGGACUCAGUCCCAAAGGCGGAACCACUUCUGGCAGACUGCAUCCUCCCUCCCUAAGUGCUUUUGGAAAUGUGGGAACAAACAUUUGCUCUGGUCUCCGGAAGAACGUAUGAAGACUAAACUGCAGUGGGUCUGGGAAAAGCUGAUGUCAGAGAUGCUUAUUUUCUCCAGUCACUGGAACUCAUUCAAAUCAGGCUGCCACAACAAAGCAGGAACAAAAAAUUAUUUCCUCACAGUUUGAGAGGCUAGAAGUCUGAGAUCAAGGUGUUGGCAAG